CUCUAGAUGUCUCCUCACAAAAAGCUGUGUCUGGAGCAGAGACCUGCUUAGCCAUCUGAAAAAAGAAGAAAACCCACAGAGAGUGACACCAAUAUUCCUGCCUGGGAAUAUUUAGAAUCAAUAUCCAGGAAUACACCAUUUCUAUGGGAUGUUGGUGUUUUCCUCUUACUUGAAGUCUUAUUGGCAGCUUGAAACCAGCUAUGGCGGGAGUAUUGACGCCAUGAAAACCAGCAAAUGCUACAAAUCAGUAGCAGUCGACACUUGACGAACCCUUACUGUGGACACUUCACUCUGAAUGAACAAAGUCCCUGUCUUCUUAAGUAGAAACUCAGCAGACCUGACGUCAUCUCACCAUUCCCAACAUCUCCUAUCGUUUCCCAUCUGGAUCUGACGCGUUGCAUCGGAAGGAUCUGGAGCUGCCUGUGCCUUUCAUCUGCAUGCCGCAUCCGCUGGUGCCCAAGGCGGUGCUUGCUCCUGAGGAGCCAUGUCUUCAAGAGACCUGUUGGAGGAAUCAGAAGAGCUCUUCUAAGCAUGGAGGACGUUAUCCAAGCCUCUGCUCUCAGUUUCCAUAAAGGGGCCCAGCAGUGCUGCUCCCCACCCGGGGAGUCCCCGAGACUCAUUCCAUCCUGAUGCAAAAGAAGUGUCAAACUGUCAAACCAGCCUUUGCAAGAUGUCAUACCUGCAUAUGUCUUUAAAGCCUGUCUCUGAAAGAACAGAAAGAGUUUCAAAUAAACUGUAUUUUUGGUAACAUGAUGACAUUGGAAGCAAUGCAAUAUUCAAGGAGUUUAUACUAUUAAUGACUUCUCUGGAUCACACCUUUAUAAGAUUACCUGUGUCAACUUAAAAAGCAAAUUUGUCUGUUAUUUCAUCUCUAAAUGAGUUUAUUCAGGUAUAGCCAAAAGAAUUGCAAUUUGGCAUGUGCCUGCUGGAGAAGCAUAGGCGAAUCUGGAAAAGAAAGGAGGAAGCUGCUUUCAUAGAGGAAAGGGGAGCGGGGAGGGGC